rnacentral:rRNA from 1 species
AUUGAACGCUGGCGGCAGGCCUAACACAUGCAAGUCGAGCGGCUGAAGGGUGCUUGCUUCUGGAUUCAGCGGCGGACGGGUGAGUAAUGCCUAGGAAUCUGCCUGGCAGUGGGGGAUAACGUCCGGAAACGGGCGCUAAUACCGCAUACGUCCUGAGGGCGUACGUGGGGGAUCUUCGGACCUCACGCUCUCAGAUGAGCCUAGGUCGGAUUAGCUAGUUGGUGGGGUAAAGGCCUACCAAGGCGACGAUCCGUAGCUGGUCUGAGAGGAUGAUCAGUCACACUGGAACUGAGACACGGUCCAGACUCCUACGGGAGGCAGCAGUGGGGAAUAUUGGACAAAGGGCGAAAGCCUGAUCCAGCCAUGCCGCGUGGGUGAAGAAGGUCUUCGGAUUGUAAAGCACUUUAAGUGGGGAGGAAGAGCAGUAGGUUAAUACCUUGCUGUUUUGACGGUACCAACAGAAUAAGCACCGGCUAACUUCGUG